rnacentral:rRNA from 1 species
AUGGAGGUAGAGCCACCGCCACCGGCAGCGGCAGGGGCAGCGGUGCCGCGGAAAUGCGGCGUCGGCGGGGAGCAGCCGGGCCACGGGACCCCGAAUCGGCCGCGGGAGGCGCAGGAGGACCAAGCAGCCCCGGCGCCGCUGCGGCGGGAGCUGGCGGCGGCGCGGGCGCGGCGGAGGGCGGGCCGCGCCACGCCCUCGCCGUCCUGGAAGCUCGAGGCGUCGCCGCCGCGGCCGGAGGAGCCGCCGGCGGACGCGGCGGCGGCGGGGAGGAGGAGCUCGUCGGGGGCGUCCGCGCGCCAGCUGGGCGCCACGCUGUGGGAGAUCCAGGACGUCGUCAGGGCCGCGGGCGCCGGCCGCCGGAUCCGCAGGCGCGCGCGGAGGGGGCCCGCCGCGUCCCCUCACCGCGGCGGCGACGACGACGACGACGUGGAUCGACCACAUAUUUCAGGCGGCUGUGGUAGGGAUCUUUCAGCACCAUUGAUGGAACAUGAAAAGUUACAUGAAGAUCGAUGCCAUUCAAGGCAGUCUCUUUCUCCUGCAAGUUACACUAGCUCAAUUGGGGCUGCUACCAUAAACCUCGUCAGUCCUACUCGGUCGUUGAAUUUCAGGGACAGAUAUAGGGAUGCAGGUUGCAAUCUUAAAACAUCAACAGAACUAUUGAAAGUUCUGAAUCGUAUUUGGAGUUUGGAAGAACAGCAUGCGGUUGAUGUGUCAGCAGUUAAGGGAUUGAAAUCGGAGUUGCAGAAUACACAGGCACGUGUUCAAGAGCUUACGCAAGAGAGGCAGCGAUAUCACUAUGAAAUCGAGUCUCUGGCCAGGCAAGUCACUGAAGACAAAAUGGCUCGGAAAAACAAGGAACAAGAGAAGCUUAGAGCAACCCUUUGUUCCCUGCAAGAGGAACUUGAAGCUGAGAGACAUCUGAGGAAACAUUCUGAGAAUCUCCACAGGAAGCUAGGGAAAGAGUUGUCUGCGAUGAAACCGGCAUUUCUCAAGGCUGUAAAGGACCUGGAGAAAGAGCAGAAAGCAACCCGCCUGUUGGAAGAUCUCUGCGACGAGUUUGCGUUAGGAAUCAGAAACUACGAAGAGGAAGUGAGGGUGUUAAAGCAAAGGCAUGUAAAGGAGUAUGAACAGAAAACUGAUAAGUUGGUGGUUCAUAUUUCGGAAGCAUGGCUGGACGAGCGAAUACAGAUGCAAAAUGCUGAUGCCAGGGGAGAUUCAGAAGGGAAAACCUCAAUCACGGAGAGGUUGAGCGGUGAAAUACGGAGUUUCCUUCAUGGUAGAAGAUCAAGCAACUUCUACGGUGUUAACAAACAUGCUGGUAAUGAGAAGGGAGAUGCAAGCUUGUGCCGACAGUCCCUCGAAUCUCUGCACUUAAAUGGAGCCACCAGUGCCCCCCGGUUAGCUGAAGAUGAUGAAAAUUCUGUUGCUAGCGACUUGCAUUGCUUUGAGUUGAACAUGCAUGGAGACGCUGUGCAGACUCAUGACCUUGCAGGAACUCGACGGACAGUCGCCGACUGCAUGUAUUCACCAAUGAGAAGGCUGGAGUUCUCCGAUGGUCUGUCUGUUGAGGGCUCAAGGAUCUCAUCCGCAAGACCUUGUUCAGAAAAAGGCAAGGUAAAGCCAAGAAGCAGCAAAGCACAGCUGAAUACUUCGGCGCCAGAAAUCAGCUCUCGCAACGGUGACAAAAUUGAUCCUAUAGAUGAGCAGAACGAAACAGUCAUGACCCAAGUUUCUCGACGGUUGCACGAUGACUUGCUGAAGAUCAAAUCAGAGGCUCCUCAACAUGCAUUUCUAGAGCGAAAACCCCAUGAUCAUCAUCCCCGGACGUACCAGUUUCGUGAGUGUGCCGCGUCGUCAAGCGAUCUGCUACACAAUCUGCACAGUCCAGCCCGGCAGCUGAAGAAUCAUCAGCGCGCGCCGUUGGACUACCAAACAUCUGAAUGCACUACUACCGGUGACCUGCGUGGUCUGCGUAGUCCAUCCUGGCAGCUGAAGAACCAACGCGCCUCAUUGGACUACCAGAUAUCUGAGUGUGCCACCACAGGUGACAUGCACAACCUGCGCAGUCCAUCCUGGCAGCUGAAGAAUCAUCAUCGGUCGUCGCUGGACCAUGAAAUCUCCGAGUCCUCGCCGGCGCGGUCUCUCGGCUCAAAAGACAACACGCUCAAGGCGAAGUUACUGCAAGCGAGGCUAGAGGGGCAGCAUGCCCGGAUUAGGGCGUCGGGCUACCCCUUGAUCAGCACAAGGAGAUGA